GAUGAACGCUAGCGACAGGCCUAACACAUGCAAGUCGAGGGCAGCACAUGAGUAGCAAUACGAUGGUGGCGACCGGCGCGACGGGUGAAGUAACACGUAUGCAACCUGCCUUCUACUAUGGGAUAACCCGUUGAAAGACGGACUAAUACCGUAUAAUACAGGGGCUCCGCAUGGAGAUAUUUGUUAAAGAUUUAUUGGUAGAAGAUGGGCAUGCGUAUGAUUAGAUAGUUGGUGAGGUAACGGCUCACCAAGUCAACGAUCAUUAGGGGUUCUGAGAGGAAGGUCCCCCACACUGGUACUGAGACACGGACCAGACUCCUACGGGAGGCAGCAGUGAGGAAUAUUGGUCAAUGGACGAGAGUCUGAACCAGCCAAGUCGCGUGAAGGAAGACGGUUCUAUGAAUUGUAAACUUCUUUUGUGCAGGAAUAAAGUGGGUUACGUGUAACCUUUUGUAUGUACUGUACGAAUAAGGAUCGGCUAACUCCGUG
rnacentral:rRNA from 1 species